GUUAGUGACAGGGGAGAUGGAGGAAAAGCUGACUGCAAACACUUUAGUCAGAAAAAGCUAAACCGGAGAAAAAAGGCAAACCGGAGAUGAUGUCCCAUUCAAGGGGUCAAAGAAGGAGCUUGCCACUUUCAAAUGAGAUCCCAUCUACCUUCUAUACCAACAGUGUUGACUACAUGUGAUUUCGCAUAAAACCUGUAUAUGAAUAAGUUGAAAA